rnacentral:snRNA from 1 species
GGAUGUGAGGGCGAUCUGGCUGCGACAUCUGUCACCCAUUGAUGGCCAGGGUUGAUUCGGCUGAUCCGGCUGGCCAGGCGGGUGUCGCCCUCUCCCUCACCGCUCCAUGUGUGUCCCUCAUGGAAGAGGAUGACCUUCCCCGAUAGAGGAGAACCGUUCUUCCAUCAGGGGUAUACGAGUAGCUGCACUCCCCUGCUAGAACCUCCAAACAAGCUCUCAAAAAGAAAAAAAAGGGGAUAAAGAUUUGAGUAGAUAGUUCUCCAGAAAACAAAAACCAAAAACCAAAAAGCAGAAAUGGACAAUAAGCCAUAAAAAGAUGUUCAUUU